GUUACUUCCCGUCAAACAGCUCUGUUCAAAGCAAAGCAUAUACAAGCUGUAAGCGAUAUGUUGAGGACUAGGAAUGCUCUGAGGAGGCUUGAAAGCAGAAAAAGAGGCGAGAAAGGAGCAUGAAAUUGGAUUUGAAGGUGCAGCGCGACGGCUUUUUCAAGGAGAGGAUCGCGCGCACCUAGCGCAAACUGGCUCGAAUUCAAACGGCUUCCUGUUGUUGUCACCAGAUGUCAUUACGAACUUGUGGAUCAGUCAGAUUCUCAGUCAUUCAGGUCAUGGUAAUCUGCUGAAGUUAAAUCGAGAGAGCUCAAGAGAGGGGGGGUUAGAGCGCGCAAGAUCGCUUCCACCGUGAG